AGUGAAAAACAAAUAUAGAAAAGACAUACCAAAGAACUAGUGGACGAGCACAGGCGGAAGUCCUGGAAUGUUUAAAGUUUAUCCAUGUAAUUCGCCAUGAUAAUCCUCCAACGAUGGUUUUCAAAUAUGUAUCGUAAAACGCUUCCGAACGACCGUACAGCAGUAACGUACGACAGUCGCAACCUGUGGCGCCACCCGACGGCCGUCCCCCGUAACCCGCUUUAAUCCAGAACGUGCAUUAGUUUUCAGUUAAAUUAAUACACAGUGUGUACCGCGCGCGUUGUGUCCCGUAGUCCAGGAAAAUGUCCGUGGUACAAUGGCUGCUUGAGUUCUCAAUUAUCGUGGAGGUUAUUCGGCAGCCUUCGCAGCUUCGAAUUAUCGUUCACUCUACGCAUGGCGAAUAGACUGUAGAGUUCAGCCUGCGAGAGGUUCUACGAACUACGCUACAGUGUGUGCCGUAUACGCUACUACCUAGGGUAUACGCGUCUAUGGUAAAUCCGGUAGCCCCGUUGGAUCCGGAAUCUCGAGUCCAGGCUCGUUUCAAGGCGUUAAACGAUUAACCGUGCCGGGAUAAUACGAUUAAGCAUUAAAUUAAAUGUAGCGUAGUUCUAGGCUGGAUUAACCAGAACCGCGAGUGAACGAACCAACUAGUGAAUAUGUGUAUCGGACGGAGAUAUUCCAGUCGCUCGUUGAGCACAUUCUUAGACGGCAACUGGGGCGUCGGCCGUUUGCACCGAGGUACAGUGUGACGCAGUUCGAGGCGGCACGGAUCGCUGUGCUUCUGCGACUAGACGCGAACAAUCGACAAGGACCGUAAAGGACGGCGGAGCGCAAGCGACUGGCAGGCACUGACUGGCUGACUGACUGCUAGUCCUAGAGCGAAGUGACGCACGUCGCUGCUUCGGGACAAAGGAGGCAAAUUUCGCGACGGGCAGUCACAGUCCGUUUCCCCGUGAAUCGAAAUAUCUCUCCAACUGAAUUCUGAUAUCUCUGAUGCUUCGAAUAAGCUCGCUCUCUACGGCUGACAGAGGCUUCGCUAUGGAAGCACUCGUGUCCCUUUUCGUUGUGGCGAAGGAAAAGGCGAAGGACCGUCGAUGGUUUUUACAUGAAACAAGAGCUACACUCCCGAACCGCCGAGCUUCGAGCACUGACUCGUUGCAGCAUCCUGGCUGCGGGAAGGAUGGCCAGUGAACCUCGUGAAAGAUUCAGAAGAUUCGAACGACCGUGGGAGCAUCAAGGGGCCUCGGGAAUUAUUCAACCGUAACGUAGGAUGGAAGUAAAGUAAUGCGGGAAAUGCCCGGAAAACUAGAGGCGAUCCCGGCUAAUGGAGAAACGCGGUGCAAUUGCAGCGUGCAGCGCAAACUGCAACGGCCAUCCGACAAUGCACCGACCAUUUCAACCUUCUUAUCCAUAAGCGUGAAUUCAGUUCACUUUCCUAAACGCUGCCACUUUCACGAAUAAGUCAGUCGAAUUGUUCGCUCAAGCGCUCAUUGCUUUUUCUUCCUCGAAACUCGAUGAAACAAAAUUAUAAGACUCCAGCCUCCACUCGCCCUUCCGAGUCAGGAUUAAUUUCGAGUUUUCGCGUACGUAUAGAAGCACCACUGUAACUACCUGAAACUGUAACCACGUGGGGCGUUGCGAAACUUAGUUGCGGCAAUAUCGGGUGUGUGACUUUCUAUAGGGUGGACUUGAAGAACGAAACAAAAAAAAAUAUUCAAGUGCA